AUUGAACGCUGGCGGCAUGCCUUACACAUGCAAGUCGAACGGCAGCACGGGAGCAAUCCUGGUGGCGAGUGGCGAACGGGUGAGUAAUAUAUCGGAACGUGCCCAGUCGUGGGGGAUAACGCAGCGAAAGCUGUGCUAAUACCGCAUACGAUCUAUGGAUGAAAGCGGGGGAUCGCAAGACCUCGCGCGAUUGGAGCGGCCGAUAUCAGAUUAGCUAGUUGGUUGGGUAAAGGCCCACCAAGGCGACGAUCUGUAGCUGGUCUGAGAGGACGACCAGCCACACUGGAACUGAGACACGGUCCAGACUCCUACGGGAGGCAGCAGUGGGGAAUUUUGGACAAUGGGCGCAAGCCUGAUCCAGCAAUGCCGCGUGCAGGAUGAAGGCCUUCGGGUUGUAAACUGCUUUUGUACGGAACGAAACGGCCCUUUCUAAUACGGGGGGCUAAUGACGGUACCGUAAGAAUAAGCACCGGCUAACUACGUGCCAGCCGCCGCAGUAACAC
rnacentral:rRNA from 1 species